rnacentral:snRNA from 1 species
GGCCCUCCUGAAGCUGCGCGCUCGGUUGAAGAGGACGACCUUCCCCGAUAGAGACGGUACCGUUCAUCGGUCAAGGGUAUACGGUAGCUGCGCUCCCCUGCUAGAACCUCCAAACAAGCUCAAGGUCCAUUUGUAGGAGAACGUAGGGUAGUCAAGCUUCCAAGACUGCAGACACAUCCAAGUGAGGCGCUGCAUGGGGCAGUCUGCCAUUGUUU